rnacentral:lncRNA from 1 species
GUCAUACUUUGAUGACAAAGGAUUAUAGAAAACAUUUUCUACCUUGAAAUCUCACCACAUAAGGCAUAAAUUCCAUCUCUAAUACUUUAUUUUUUUAUUUUUUUUUAAAAAUAUUUAUUUAUUUAUUUAUUUUAGUUCUCGGCGGACACAACAUCUUUGUUUGUAUGUGGUGCUGAGGAUCGAACCCGGGCCGCACGCAUGCCAGGCGAGCGCGCUACUGCUUGAGCCACAUCCCCAGCCCCUCUAAUACUUUAAAACAAAGCAAAAUCAAUCCUGGAGACCACACCUUUUAAUAGGCAAUGGCAGAGGAUAAAUUGGAAAAGGAGGAAUCCAGCAGGCUCUGAGGGAGUUGUGUGGUACAUCUCUGAGGAAACAUCAGAGUGACAUGGGACAAUAACAGAGAUUCCCAAAUGAGGAAAUCUCAUUUCUUGUGGUUAAAAAAAAUAAAAUUAAAAUUAAAAAGAAAGAAUUGCUUUAAGGAUACAGGAUGGAAAUAUAAAGUAAUUUAAAAACAGUCUUUGUUAAUGAAAUCCACUGAGAUUUCUAAAUUUCAUGUGCCUCUGUCAAUUUAGUGUUUCUAACUAUUAUAAGGAGUCUCAAAUAUCCUGUUAUAUUUGUGACCUAUUUUACUGUUUUUGAAGUAGCUGCAUUCAGCUGCAUAAGGCCCUGUGUUUUAUAGCCAACACUGUAAAAUACAUACGCACAUAUUCCAAUCUGUCAGAAUUACCUGGUCUAUACCACUAAAUGCCAGUAGAUAGCACCUUCUCCCAACACUGGUAUUACCAAAAAUACACGAAUUUCCAAAAUGCCCCCUAAGGCUCUCAAAUACAAUCACGUUUAGAUCCUAUUGUUAGUAUAGGUGACAAAAACUCCCAGACUGUCUUAUAGUGGGAAAAUAUACUGUAGUGUAAAUUCCACACAAAAUCUUGCUCACGGUGUUUUUUUUUUUUUUUUUUUUUUGUGCUUCUGUAUGGACUGUUUUUAGUAAAUGACUCUUCAUGAUGACUGGUUCUUUUUGUUGUUCUUUAUUCCUGAAUUUCCUGAACACUGGCAUUUGUUUUGAUUGACUUUGAGAUGGUUCUGAAUGUUUUCUGUAUCCUAGGCACCAGUUUUGUUUUGAUUGGUACUCUGGUUCUCUGUGCAUGCCCAUUCUUGCUAAGCAGAUCAUAAUCUCAACUAGCUUCAGCAGCUCCCCUGUUCCCACGGUCACAUUUGAGGCUGGCAGUCAUGCAUCUAUGCUAGCUCCUAGAUAGUUUUAAAUUAAACCCUUCCCAUUGGCUACAUUGGCUUCAUAUUCAGUAAUCUCUCCAAUCGAUCAAGUGAUAAUUAUGUAGGAUCAAAUGGCAUACUGUUUGUGUAAAUCUUAUAUGUGACAACAAAUAUAAAAAUACUUGUUUUGUAAAACUGAUAUUAACAGCAAUAAUUAUAAUACAGUUACCAUUAAUUCCUUGUAUCUAAAACCCUUAAGUAUCUUACAAUACUACAGCCACUUCUGGCACUCCUUUCCUGUUUCUUGGUUCUAUUUCUGCCUGCUGAGUUUCAAUGAGUGCUCUGAGCUGGAUCUUGCUGCCACACUUCUCCUGGUCUAAGCCAUAGCUCUUAAUCUUUUUUUGAGUCUAGACUUCUUGGAGGAGCUGAAGAACUCUAUAUAGAUCCUUUCCUCAUAAAAAUGCAUAUUUAGCUGGGCAUGGUGGCACACUCCUGUAAUCCCAGUGACGUGAGAGACCAAGGCAGAAGGACAAUAAGUUUG